rnacentral:lncRNA from 1 species
CCUGAGCUGGGACUUGGGCCCCGGGGCGCUGCUCCUCCGCAACCGAUCCACCGCAUCCUGGCAACUGAGCAGGCUCCGCCACCCCUAGAGCACAGGGGCCAGUUGAAACAGAGUGUAACCAAAGGAGAUUUCCCAGAGGAAGGUAAAAUGUGAGCUGAAUUUUAAAGGAUCAUCAGAAGAAAAUGAGGAUCCUAGGUCAAAGAAACAGACAUGUAAGGAUAGAGGCUGGGCCAGAUGUUAAAGGAUAUGUAAAGGUGAAAGACACACCGCUUGCCCCCCAAGAACUCACACAGAGGGGCAAGACAUUUACACAAGGAACAAGUCUCCAAAGCAUCUAUGAAGCAACGCAGUUCAGCAAGAGAACUCUGACCUGGGAGUGAAUCAUGGUCCUUCUACUUUCUAGCUGUGUGAUUUUGCAAAGUUGUGUAAUCUUUCAAAGCCUCAGUUUCCUUAUCUGUAAAAUCAGGAUUAUUGGAUAUUUAUGAGGAAUAAAUGAUAGCCAUGAGUAAAGUGGGCAGUAUAUCACUGGGUGAAUAAUAGGUAUUCAGUAAUUAAACUGACUUCAAAACCAAAUAAAUGCAAAAAGUGCAAAGAAAUACCAAUGAAAUGCUUUGGAACUCCAAUGGAGGAAGGUGUCAUAUCAGGAAAAACUUUUUGGAAGUGGUAUGUGAGAUGAACCUUAUAGCAGUUGUCUGAUUUUAAAAGGAGGCAAUGUAGUUGGGGAAAAAGAUUCCCAGGGACAGAUGGCAUAAGCAAAGGCAUGAAGGCAGGAAAAUCCGUGACACUCCAACUAGUAGAUGUGUUUUUUGCUUAAGUUGUAGUUACAUAGACCAUAAGUCAGUCUCCAACCUCAAAAAGCUCAUAGUCUAGUGGGGAGACAGACACACAAACUGAAAUUGACAAAGCAAUGUGACAGCAGUUGUGAUAGAGGACUGCAAAUGUGCUGUGGGAAUCCAGAGGAGGCCCACUUGGAUCAGCUGGGCUAGUGCUGACCAGGUGGUAUAUCAGAAGAUGAAGAGGGUGUGCUGAGAUUCUAGAGGAUGAUAGAGAAAAUGCUGGGCACAUGGCCCAUGCUCAGUAGAAGUGCCAGGCAUAACAUCAUGCUAGGCACACAGGAUGGGACCUAGGAGUUGAGAAACACGAUGAGAACGAAAACUGGGUUGGUAGCACUAAAAGGGUAAGAACAGUGACCAGGGAAGAAGCAGGAAUAUGAGAGAAAAAUGGCUGAAUUCUAGAGCUUGAGGGUGGAGCCAUUUAGUACUAUAAUGAAGCCUGAGAUCAGCUGUGAACCUAGGUGGCUGAAAUUGAGGAGAAGGGAGACACUGGAGAUUAAGAGCUCAAAGAUUACGGGGAGUAAGCAACUUGAAAUAUCACUGUUGUCUGAUGAUGACCCAGAAGGCAGAGAUAGAAGGAAGCCUAUGUGGAAAAAAAAAAAUCAAUAAGCCAAGUCUAAAAAUCACUCCGAAAGAAGGAAUUGUGUCCUGAAGGGCAAUAGAUGGCUUUGGUAUUUGAAAUGUGCUAGCUACUUACUGCUGAGCACCAGUUUUAUGCCAGGCACUUUAGACUCAUUAUGGUAUCUUCAGUUGUGUUGGUUAGGAUAUUGGUUAGGUUGCUGUGAAAGGAAGGUCCAAAAUAACCAUGACCAAAGUAAGAUAGAAGCUUAUUCCUCUGUCAUGUAAAAGUCUGGGUAUGUGGUCCA